rnacentral:snRNA from 1 species
CAAUACAUCUACUUUGUGUAGCU